GAUGAAGAACGUAGCGAAAUGCGAUAAGUAAUGUGAAUUGCAGAAUUCAGUGAAUCAUCGAAUCUUUGAACGCACAUUGCGCCCCCCAGUAUUCUGGCGGGCAUGCCUAUUCGAGCGUCAUUUCAACCAUCAAGCCCUGCUUGUGUUGGGGUCCUGCGGCUGCCCGCAGGCCCUGAAAACCAGUGGCGGGCUCGCUAGUCACACCGAGCGCAGUAGCACAUCUCGCUCAGGGCGUGCGGCGGGCUCCAGCCGUUAAAGCACCCACCUUUCGCAAGGUUGACCUCGGAUCAGGUAGGAAUACCCGCUGAACUUAAGCAUAUCAAUAAGCGGAGGA
rnacentral:misc_RNA from 1 species